CCCGUUAAUACGACCAAAAUAUUUUGGCCGAACGGUGGUCGUAUUAACGAGGUUCCACUGUACUACCGUUCCAGCAAUAUCUGUAAAUAUAUUUGUUGUGUUGGUGUAAUGUACUCAGGUGAAUAAGAUGCUUGUUACUCUGAAUGUAUAUACACACCGGGCAGGCUUGAGAGAUAUGCCUGGCCACGGUGGGAAUCGAACUUACGACCUUUGGAACACUAGCCCAACGCUCUGCCAACUGAGCUACGCGGUCAGGACGGUUCGAGUAUGCGAUAUUUCGGAACUGAGUCUAGUUCCUUCGAUAUCAGUGUAAUCUAAUAAUCAUGAAAUCUGCUGUGCUGGUGCAAUGUACCCAGGUGGAUAAGAUGUUUGUGUGAUGUUAUUAUGAGUGUAUAUCCAG